AUUGAACGCUGGCGGAAUGCUUUACACAUGCAAGUCGAACGGCAGCACGGGGGCAGCCCUGGUGGCGAGUGGCGAACGGGUGAGUAAUACAUCGGAACGUGCCCGGUCGUGGGGGAUAACGUAGCGAAAGUUACGCUAAUACCGCAUACGAUCUGAGGAUGAAAGCGGGGGACCUUCGGGCCUCGCGCGAUCGGAGCGGCCGAUGUCAGAUUAGGUAGUUGGUGGGGUAAAGGCCUACCAAGCCGACGAUCUGUAGCUGGUCUGAGAGGACGACCAGCCACACUGGGACUGAGACACGGCCCAGACUCCUACGGGAGGCAGCAGUGGGGAAUUUUGGACAAUGGGCGCAAGCCUGAUCCAGCCAUUCCGCGUGCAGGACGAAGGCCUUCGGGUUGUAAACUGCUUUUGUACGGAACGAAAAGGCUCUGGCUAAUACCUGGGGCUCAUGACGGUACCGUGAGAAUAAGCACCGGCUAACUACGUG
rnacentral:rRNA from 1 species